rnacentral:rRNA from 1 species
AGUGAACGCUGGCGGUAGGCCUAACACAUGCAAGUCGAACGGCAGCACAGUAAGAGCUUGCUCUUACGGGUGGCGAGUGGCGGACGGGUGAGGAAUACAUCGGAAUCUACUUUUUCGUGGGGGAUAACGUAGGGAAACUUACGCUAAUACCGCAUACGACCUACGGGUGAAAGCAGGGGAUCUUCGGACCUUGCGCGAUUGAAUGAGCCGAUGUCGGAUUAGCUAGUUGGCGGGGUAAAGGCCCACCAAGGCGACGAUCCGUAGCUGGUCUGAGAGGAUGAUCAGCCACACUGGAACUGAGACACGGUCCAGACUCCUACGGGAGGCAGCAGUGGGGAAUAUUGGACAAUGGGCGCAAGCCUGAUCCAGCCACACCGCGUGAGUGAAGAAGGCCUUCGGGUUGUAAAGCCCUGUUGUUGGGAAAGAAAAGCAGCAGGUUAAUACCCCGCUGUUCUGACGGUACCCAAUGAAUAAGCACCGGCUAACUUCGUG